AGAUCUAGUGCUAGAAGCAGCUCAGCAUGGAGACACUGAAGUAUCUGACACUUUUCCUACUCCUGGCUGUGUUGGCGGAGAGGAUGGAAGCACAGGCAGCAGGAAAUGCCACUUCCUGCCCUGAAGUAAGAGAUGGAACCCUUGGAAUUUGUGGCAGGGAAUGCACAGAGGACACAGGGUGUGAACAAGGAUGGAAGUGCUGCCCAAACACCUGCGGAAAAUUCUCUUGCAUGAAUCCAGAGUAAGAGGAACAAAAGGACAGAGUAUGGAAAAAUGAUAGAUCGUGAUGUUGUAGACCCUAGGGGAAGAGACCAUUUGCAAUAAAUAACCUUAUACUAAUAAAUAAACUUAUACUAAUAA